rnacentral:rRNA from 1 species
GUAUCAUGGCCUCAGGAUGAACGCUAGCUACAGGCUUAACACAUGCAAGUCGAGGGGCAGCAUUUCAGUUUGCUUGCAAACUGGAGAUGGCGACCGGCGCACGGGUGAGUAACACGUAUCCAACCUGCCGAUAACUCGGGAUAGCCUUUCGAAAGAAAGAUUAAUACCCGAUGGUAUAAUUAGACCGCAUGGUCUUGUUAUUAAAGAAUUUCGGUUAUCGAUGGGAUGCGUUCCAUUAGGCAG